CCUACGGGUGGCAGCAGUAGGGAAUCUUUCACAAUGGGCGAAAGCCUGAUGGAGCAACGCCGCGUGCAGGAUGAAGGCCUUCGGGUUGUAAACUGCUUUUAUAAGCGAGAAAUAUGAUGGUAACUUAUGAAUAAGGAUCGGCUAACUACGUGCCAGCAGCCGCGGUCAUACGUAGGAUCCGAGCAUUAUCCGGAGUAACUGGGUGUAAAGAGUUGCGUAGGUGGCAUAAUAAGUAGCUAGUGAAAUCUGGUGGCUCAACCAUUCAGACUAUUAGCUAAACUGUUAAGCUCGAGACCGUUAGGGGUAACGGGAAUUUCUAGUGUAGGAGUGAAAUCCGUAGAUAUUAGAAGGAACACCAAUAGCGUAGGCAGGUUGCUGGGACGGUUCUGACACUAAGGCACGAAAGCGUAGGGAGCAAACGGGAUUAGAUCCCCAGUAGUC
rnacentral:rRNA from 1 species